rnacentral:rRNA from 1 species
UACAGAGGUGGCAAGCGUUGUUCGGAAUUACUGGGCGUAAAGGGCUCGUAGGCGCCAACUAAGUCAUACGUGAAAUCCCUCAGCUUAACUGGGGAACUGCGUCUGAUACUGGAUGGCUUGGAUUCGGGAGAGGAAUGCGGAAUUCCAGGUGUAGCGGUGAAAUGCGUAGAUAUCUGGAGGAACACCGGUGGCGAAGGCGGCAUUCUGGACCGACAUUGACGCUGAGGAGCGAAAGCCAGGGGAGCAAACGGG